AUUGAACGCUGGCGGCAUGCCUAACACAUGCAAGUUGAGCGAGCGGCGGACGUGUGAGUAAUGUAUGUGGACUGCCCGUUAGAGGGGGAUAACUACUGGAAACGGUGGUUAAUACCGCAUACUAUCGGAUAACCCAUAUGUGAUUAGCUAGUAGUUGGGGUAAAGGCUCACGUAGGCGACGAUCUCUAGCUGGUCUAAGAGGAUGCUCAGCCACACUGGGCCUGGGACAGUGCCCGGACUCCGAGGGCGGCAGCAGUGGGGAAUAGUGCACAAUGGGCGCAAGCCUGAUGCAGCCAUGCCGCGUGUAUGAAGAAGGCCUUAGGGUUGUAAAGUACUUUCAGCGGGGAGGCGUUACCCGCAGAAGAAGCACCGGCUAACUCCGUGCCAGCAGCCGCGGUAAUUC
rnacentral:rRNA from 1 species